UACGGAGGGGGGCUAGCGUUGUUCGGAAUUACUGGGCGUAAAGCGCACGUAGGCGGCUUUGUAAGUUAGAGGUGAAAGCCCGGGGCUCAACUCCGGAAUUGCCUUUAAGACUGCAUCGCUAGAAUUGUGGAGAGGUAAGUGGAAUUCCGAGUGUAGAGGUGAAAUUCGUAGAUAUUCGCAAGAACACCAGUGGCGAAGGCGGCUCACUGGCCCGAUACUGACGCUGAGGCACGAAAGCGUGGGGGAGCAAACAGG
rnacentral:rRNA from 1 species